rnacentral:rRNA from 1 species
CUUAACUCCAUAUCGGCGGUGGAAACUGAUGAACUAGAGGGUGGUAGGGGUCACGGGAAUUCCCAGUGUAGCGGUGAAAUGCGUAGAUAUUGGGAAGAACACCAGCGGCGAAAGCGCGUGACUGGGCCAUUACUGACACUCAUGGACGAAAGCUAGGGGAGCGAAAGGGAUUAGAUACCCCUGUAGUCCUAGCCGUAAACGAUGGACACUAGGUGUUGCCCGAUCGACCCGGGCAGUGCCGUAGCUAACGCGUUAAGUGUCCCGCCUGGGGAGUACGCACGCAAGUGUGAAACUCAAAGGAAUUGACGGGGGCCCGCACAAGCGGUGGAGUAUGUGGUUUAAUUCGAUGCAACGCGAAGAACCUUACCAGGGCUUGACAUGUCGCGAAUCCCCUUGAAAGGGGGGAGUGCCUUCGGGAGCGCGAGCACAGGUGGUGCAUGGUUGUCGUCAGCUCGUGUCGUGAGAUGUUGGGUUAAGUCCCGCAACGAGCGCAACCCACGUUUCUAGUUGCCAGCAUUCAGUUGGGCACUUUAGAGAGACUGCCGGUGACAAACCGGAGGAAGGUGUGGAUGACGUCAAGUCAGCAUGCCCCUUACGUCCUGGGCUACACACGUACUACAAUGCUUCGGACAGAGGGUUGCCAGCCCGCGAGGGUGCGCUAAUCCCGUAAACCGAGGCUCAGUUCAGAUUGCAGGCUGCAACUCGCCUGCAUGAAGGCGGAAUCGCUAGUAAUCGCCGGUCAGCAUACGGCGGUGAUACGUUCCCGGGCCUUGUACACACCGCCCGUCACAUCACGAAAGUAGGCUGCACUAGAAGUGGCUGAGCUAA